GCCGCGGUAACUCACUUAAUAGAGCAUCUGCCCGGUACACGGAGAGUCGCCGGUUCGAUUCCGGCUCGCGGCG
rnacentral:tRNA from 1 species